rnacentral:lncRNA from 1 species
GUAAGGACGAGCGUCCCAGGAAAGUUUUCCAGAAGAGAAAAGAAGAAACUAAAAGGAAAGCCCACAGCAGAGAGUGCGACAGGGCCUCGCUCCAAGAUUCCACACCCAACCAGACAACAAUUGUCCCACUGGGAGAAAAGCCAGCGACGAAAGCAUUGUUUUGUCCAACUCUUCCUUCUCCCAUUUCCUAAUUUAGUAAAACCCUGCCUCUCACAAGAAUCGGCUGCUGCCCACAGCCAGCUCCCUCAGGCACUCAGACCCUGGAAGCCCUCCCACUUGGAACACUUCCGCAGAGGAGGGGAAUGUAGGGACCCGGCCUUGUUUUCCUGUGGCCCAGGCUCCCGUUGUGAGAUCCUGCAGAUCCGAACAACAAUCCCAUGCCCAAGUUCCCCACGCUUCAGCAGCACAGACAAGUACGGAUGCAGACGCCUCCAAAGAACGCCACGUGGGCUCUUGCAGGAGGAAAGUGGAGCAUGCUGGGAAGCAUGCUUGUGGUCAUGGGCGCUCGAACACAGCCCUUUGCCGUGUGCCAGCUCAUGUGCGUGCAUUUGGAGUUCUCAGGGGGUGAUGAAGGCUCCAGAGAGGCAGAAUGUAUUCUCGGCUUUUGCUGUUACAGGGCCAAGACUUGCCAACGAGGGGUCUUGGUGGUUGGUGUCCAUAGGACCUAGAGAGGCACCUAGUUUGAUGAAGUGCACGCUGUCCAUGCAGAGAUUCUGCCUGGAAGACACAGAGGCUAGUUUGCAACCAUCCCUGCUGUCUAAGUGGUUACAAGAUUUCCAUUGCAUCCUGUCUGUUUCACACUGCUACCCAAACAAUGUUAGAGCUUUGCCCCAAACCAGAUACUGGUGUCUUUUAGGGAGACAGAGGAAGCCGGAUCCACUUGCUAUUAAUGAACAGUUUUAUUGUUUCGUCCUAAAGCUGGAUCAGAUCUGUAAUUUAGACAUCUCUGAAAAAAUAACGCUUAUGAAAGUAUUUCCCAAGAACGUUUUACCAGCAAGUGGUAAGAGCGUGAUUCAAACUGGCCCAACCAGGAGGGAUGAAGGGGGGACGUGGGAAAGAGUAGACUAG